rnacentral:rRNA from 1 species
CUGUUGUACCAGUUGUUCUGCCAAGGGCAUGUCUUGGUAGCUCUGUACGGAAUGGAUUAGCGCUGAAAGCAUCAAAGCUUGAUGCCAAUUCCAAGAUAAGUUUUCCCACCGCAAGGGUAAGACCACUGAAAGACUAUCUCGUUGAUCGGUCCAAGGUGUAAGUGCAGCAAUGUAUUUAGCUUAUCGAUACUAAUAGGUCGAGGACUUGACAAAU